ACACUCACUUUAGCAGCAUAUAUACUAAAAUUGUAACAAUAAAGACUAACAUAGCCCCUGAGGAAAGAUAACAUGCAAAUUUAUGAAGUGUUCAUAUUUUUA